rnacentral:lncRNA from 1 species
UUUUAAAAAGAAGGUUUACAUAUUUGCUUUAUUUUAUUGCAUGUUUGAUAGGUGAUCAUUCUCAUUGUUUUACAGAUUUCAGUUUGCAUUUAAAAAGAUAAAAAUAAAACGGAAAAAAUAAGAAGAAAACAUUGUAGAAAUGAAAAUAACUAACAACAUAAAAAUAGUUGAUUAGGAUGAUGAUAUUUAUAAAUAUAAAUAUCCGUAAAAUUAUUAUGCAUGCAUUUGGGGACAAAACACCUAAUAUGUGCAGAUAGUUAAUUAUUGAUUUUGCGUAUUCGAACUCUAACAUUGAAAGUUAUAGCAUUUAAAAUCAGUGACGGCCUUAGCGAAUUUUUAUAUAUAAUUAAAAACAAAUUUAUAUUAAUAAUAGAUUUUUUUUCAAAAAAAUAAGAUAAUUCUUAUAUAUUAUGCUG